CAAUGAUUCGAAUCACCGGUCAAGAAAAGAGGUACACAGGAAAGUACAUGUGGCUAUUUUCGGCGGGGGCAUCAAUGUAGGUUAUGAGCUUGCCAUGGUCAUCUACGGGAAGAAGAAGGCCGCGGACAAUGAGUCCCCCGAAAUGACCUACGGGAACAUGCAAGAGUGCACAAGUACAUGAGGAUCAUUGGACCCAACAAGAAGAUUAACUAAGGCAUUUCAAACACGAGGCCGAAAUCGUAUGGACGAAGAGUUCCGUUGAAUCUGGCG